ACUCCUACGGGAGGCAGCAGUGGGGAAUUUUGGACAAUGGGGGGAACCCUGAUCCAGCCAUCCCGCGUGUGCGAUGAAGGCCUUCGGGUUGUAAAGCACUUUUGUCAGGAAAGAAAUCGCCCGGGAUAAUACCUCGGGUGGAUGACGGUACCUGAAGAAUAAGCACCGGCUAACUACGUGCCAGCAGCCGCGGUAAUACGUAGGGUGCAAGCGUUAAUCGGAAUUACUGGGCGUAAAGCGUGCGCAGGCGGUUCGGAAAGAAAGAUGUGAAAUCCCAGGGCUUAACCUUGGAACUGCAUUUUUAACUACCGGGCUAGAGUGUGUCAGAGGGGGGUGGAAUUCCGCGUGUAGCAGUGAAAUGCGUAGAUAUGCGGAGGAACACCGAUGGCGAAGGCAGCCCCCUGGGAUAACACUGACGCUCAUGCACGAAAGCGUGGGGAGCAAACAGGAUUAGAUACCCUGGUAGUCCACGCCCUAAACGAUGUCAACUAGCUGUUGGGGCCUUCGGGCCUUAGUAGCGCAGCUAACGCG
rnacentral:rRNA from 1 species